rfam:Oryza glumipatula chromosome 3, whole genome shotgun sequence.
AAUAAGUGUAGUUUUACACUGUUCAUGUCCAUCGUUUUACCGUCCGUCUUAUUUUAAGAAAAAUAUGAUUAGUAUUUUUAUUGAACAUGAAUAAUACUUUAUGUGUGAUUAUUUUUUUUUAUUUUUUCAUAAAUCUUUCAAAUAAGAUGGGCGGUCAAACGUUGCACACGGAUAUCCAUGACUAUACUUAUU